GAAAAUAUAAGUCUCACUACAAAAAAAUUGUUGUAAACCGCCACAAUGAGAAACAUAAAAUGGUAUUUUUAGACACGCCUCAUUAAGCUUUUAAAUUACGGCGGCUAAUGUUGAUUACGACGAUCGCAAAUUGCCGCUAUUGUUAAUUAUUAUUUUUCAUCAACUUGCUCAGACCAAAAAGUUCCUCCCAACAAGUUUUUCAGACUCCUUCCAUUGCUCAGACCAAAAAUUAGAACUCCCUCCCUCGUUUCUCUCCCACUCCUCCCAAAUAAACCUUAAUAUUGCAAUUUCCUCUCUCCUUCUCCCUCUCCCUCUUAUCAAUAUGGCGCAGAUCGCUAGUAGUUGUGGCUUGCAACACCCUCAUCUCAGCUAUCAGUCGGAAGCCGCUGGUCUCCAAUGAUUAUGAAGCUUCCGAGGAGUUCAACAACCUCUAUCUCCAAACAAAAUUCAGUAAGGUCCUUUCGAUUUUUCUCUCAUUUUCAUUAUUUACUGCUUAUUUGUUAAUGCAGGUUAUAUAUAUAUAUAUAUAUAUAUAUAUAUAUAUAUAUAUAUAUAUA
rnacentral:lncRNA from 1 species